GUCAGUAACAGCAGAGCAGAGGGAGAGAGAGAGGAACUCCGGCUGGGGCAGCGCUCCAAAGGCGGAGUGAAGUGUUCGUGUUUGGAGUCCUAUCAAGACCAGAGAAGCCUUCACUAUGUUCCUGGAUAAAAGACCACUUAAUGCCCUUUAUCUGUUUUAUUCCACAAGUGGACUGACUUCAGAAGCAGCAAAGUUAAAUUGUGAAUCAAAAGCAAGGAGGAACACUAAUUGAAUGCAAACUGAAAUAAAAUAUUAGUUUUUUUCUGAACAG